rnacentral:rRNA from 1 species
GACGAACGCUGGCGGCGUGCUUAACACAUGCAAGUCGAACGGAAAGGCCCUGCUUUUGUGGGGUGCUCGAGUGGCGAACGGGUGAGUAACACGUGAGUAACCUGCCCUUGACUUUGGGAUAACUUCAGGAAACUGGGGCUAAUACCGGAUAGGAGCUCCUGCUGCAUGGUGGGGGUUGGAAAGUUUCGGCGGUUGGGGAUGGACUCGCGGCCUAUCAGCUUGUUGGUGGGGUAGUGGCUUACCAAGGCUUUGACGGGUAGCCGGCCUGAGAGGGUGACCGGCCACAUUGGGACUGAGAUACGGCCCAGACUCCUACGGGAGGCAGCAGUGGGGAAUAUUGCACAAUGGGCGGAAGCCUGAUGCAGCAACGCCGCGUGCGGGAUGACGGCCUUCGGGUUGUAAACCGCUUUCGCCUGUGACGAAGCGUGAGUGACGGUAAUGGGAAAAGAAGCACCGGCUAACUACGUG